GGCCUGAGGCGUACGAUAAUUCCCUUAAUUUUGAACCUACAUUCAUUGAUACGGGAGUUUUAUAUUUCGUGGUGGAUUGUCAAGCCUCCAUAGCAGUGGAAGACAGGAAGCCAGAUGCGGACACCCACCUAGCUAUGCUAGGAGUCAAAAGAGGGAACCGGCAUUUUGGGC
rnacentral:other from 1 species